rnacentral:rRNA from 1 species
CGUCAGCUCGUGUCGUGAGAUGUUGGGUUAAGUCCCGCAACGAGCGCAACCUCGCCUCUAGUUGCCAGCAUUCGGUUGGGCACUCUAGAGGGACUGCCGGCGACAAGUCGGAGGAAGUGGGAUGACGUCAAAUCAUCAUGCCCCUUAUGACCUGGGCUACACACGUGCUACAAUGGGCGGUACAAAGGGCUGCGAACCCGCGAGGGGGAGCGAAUCCCAAAAAGCCGCUCUCAGUUCGGAUUGCAGGCUGCAACUCGCCUGCAUGAAGCCGGAAUCGCUAGUAAUCGCGGAUCAGCAUGCCGCGGUGAAUACGUUCCCGGGCCUU